UACGUAGGGCGCAAGCGUUGUCCGGAAUUAUUGGGCGUAAAGAGCUCGUAGGCGGCUUGUCACGUCGGAUGUGAAAGCCCGGGGCUUAACCCCGGGUCUGCAUUCGAUACGGGCAGGCUAGAGUUCGGUAGGGGAGAUCGGAAUUCCUGGUGUAGCGGUGAAAUGCGCAGAUAUCAGGAGGAACACCGGUGGCGAAGGCGGAUCUCUGGGCCGAUACUGACGCUGAGGCGCGAAAGCGUGGGGAGCGAACAGG
rnacentral:rRNA from 1 species